rnacentral:rRNA from 1 species
AACACGUGACUACCUACCCUUGAGUGGGGGAUAACCUCGGGAAACCGAGGCUAAUACCGCAUAAUAUCGCAAGAUCAAAGGAGUAAUCCGCUUUUGGAGGGGGUCGCGGUGAUUAGCUAGUUGGUAGGGUAAUGGCCUACCAAGGCGAAGAUCGGUAUCCGGCCUGAGAGGGCGCACGGACACACUGGAACUGAAACACGGUCCAGACUCCUACGGGAGGCAGCAGUGGGGAAUUCUGCGCAAUGGGGGAAACCCUGACGCAGCAAACGCCGCGUGGAGGAUGAAGUAUCUUGGUACGUAAACUCCUUUCGAUGGGGAAGAUAAUGACGGUACCCAUAGAAGAAGCCCCGGUAACUUCGUGCCAGCAGCCGCGGUAAUACGAGGGGGGCAAGCGUGUUCGGAUUUAUUGGGCGUAAAGGGUGCGUAGGCGGUUUGGCAAGUCUUAUGUGAAAUCUUCGGGCUCAACCCGAAGCCUGCAUAAGAAACUGCCGGGCUUGAGUCAUGGGCAG